rnacentral:rRNA from 1 species
AACGAACGCUGGCGGCAUGCCUAACACAUGCAAGUCGAACGAGACCUUCGGGUCUAGUGGCGCACGGGUGCGUAACGCGUGGGAACCUGCCCUUAGGGUCGGAAUAACUCCCCGAAAGGGGUGCCAAUACCGGAUAAUGUCUUCGGACCAAAGAUUUAUCGCCUUUGGAUGGGCCCGCGUUGGAUUAGCUAGUUGGUAGGGUAAAAGCCUACCAAGGCGACGAUCCAUAGCUGGGCUGAGAGGAUGAUCAGCCACACUGGGACUGAGACACGGCCCAGACUCCUACGCGAAGCAGCAGUGGGGAAUAUUGGACAAUGGGCGAAAGCCUGAUCCAGCAAUGCCGCGUGAGUGAUGAAGGCCUUAGGGUUGUAAAGCUCUUUUACCCGGGAUGAUAAUGACAGUACCGGGAGAAUAAGCUCCGGCUAACUCCGUG